rnacentral:tRNA from 1 species
GCAGGGGUAGCUCAGUGGUAGAGUACAUGCUUAGCAUGCACGAGGUCCUGGGUUCAAUUCCCCAGUACUUCCA